GUAGGUUGUUAGAAAAGUAUUCACUGAGGGCUUAGUAGGUAAUUUUGACAGUUGCAGGAGAGGAGUCAUGGGGGGUGGGGAUAAAAACCUGCUAACAGUUUAAUUGAUAUGCUUUCCUGAAGAAAUGAGUUUUCAAUGAUUUUUUUGAAUGAAUGGAGACUGGGUGAGAGUUCCACAGAAGAGGUGCAGCCCUGGAGAAAUAUUGG